rnacentral:rRNA from 1 species
GAUGAACGCUGGCGGCGUGCCUAAUACAUGCCAGUCGAGCGAACAGACGAGGAGCUUGCUCCUUCGACGUUAGCGGCGGACGGGUGAGUAACACGUAGGUAACCUACCUAUAAGACUGGGAUAACUUCGGGAAACCGGAGCUAAUACCGGAUAAUAUUUCGAACCGCAUGGUUCGAUAGUGAAAGAUGGCUUUGCUAUCACUUAUAGAUGGACCUGCGCCGUAUUAGCUAGUUGGUAAGGUAACGGCUUACCAAGGCAACGAUACGUAGCCGACCUGAGAGGGUGAUCGGCCACACUGGAACUGAGACACGGUCCAGACUCCUACGGGAGGCAGCAGUAGGGAAUCUUCCGCAAUGGGCGAAAGCCUGACGGAGCAACGCCGCGUGAGUGAUGAAGGUCUUCGGAUCGUAAAACUCUGUUAUUAGGGAAGAACAAACGUGUAAGUAACUGUGCACGUCUUGGCGGUACCUAAUCAGAGAGCCACGGCUAACUACGUG